rnacentral:rRNA from 1 species
AUGCGCCUCCGCUCCCCACUAUCAUCCGUCCCCGCGAUUCGCGCGGACGGCCAGGCUGCGGAUGCCGACUUCCUGCUUGACUCGUGGCUCGGGGCGCUGCGGGACCUCGGUGGAGACCGCGGGUGGCAGCAGCCAGGCAUUGGGAAGAUCCGUGUCGACCGGGCAUUAGAUCGAGCAUGUCGGGUCGUUGGGGUGGUGACGUUGUGCACACCAAAUGGAUACGGCGAUCUCAUGCUGAAUCUGAAGGACCCAUCUGGUACUAUUGAUGCAUCAGUUCACAAGAAAGUUCUAUCAAAUGAAAACCUUUCAAAGGGUUUAUCAGUUGGGUCUGUCAUUGUUCUCAAACAGGUGGCUGUUCUUCGCCCUUCUAGCACAGUGUGCUAUCUGAAUGUUACCCAGAAAAACGUUGAAAAGGUGCUGCAAAAUGACAGUGACUCCCCAUGUAAGCAAGCAGUUCCAUCAAGUAAUUCUGGAAGGCAAAGCCAACAGCCUGGCCAAGGAGAUAACAUGGAAAAGGAAGCUGGAGCGGAAACAACUGAUGGAAUGACAGCGAUCUUCAGUAAGCUCUCGAGGACCAAGGAUGGUCGGAUAGCCGACUUACUUUGUGAUAAUGGUGGUGCAGCAAAAGCUGUUAAUGGUAGUAUUCUGAGAAUGGACAAAGAUACUCAUGGUGUACAAAAUCAUCAUGAGAAACGGAUGGAUCAAAUGGAUUCAAGUUCUCAAAUAAAUAAUUUGCCAGGCUUCAACUCCAGUCAGCAGCUGCAGAAAAUCAUUUCUAGCAUGAAUCCAGCUAAUUGCCAGCUGAAACAAGGAGGAGGCGUACCCAAGUAUGGAACAAGCAGUGAAGCUAAAAGUUCCGCUGACGAUAUAAUGAGAAAACUCUCAGGUGGUGAAAUGAUGGUUCCCAGUAGCAAGGAGAUAACUGUUGCUGGGGGUUCUCGUCGUAAUUGUGGAACACAUGGUGAAAGCAACAAUAGGGAUGAGCAUCAGCAGAAAAACCCGAAUGCAGAUACAAGAUGCACACAGCCGAUUCUAGGUGGAAGCUCAGUUAUGGCUGGAAGCAGAGAUUGUUCGCAAGCUUCCUGUACUGGAAAUCCUAGGCAACUCUCUGGCGAUGAAUCGAUGCAGGCUCGUAGUAAAAAACUUAAGAGUGAUGCAAUGCUUUCUGAUGGCAAUGGUCUGGAUGACAUAGCAGAUGAUUUCCUCGGUGGUCACAGUUUGAUCAGGAAGCCCAAGCAUCAGCAAAAAGACAUCACCCAUGGCGCAAGUGCGGGUACCCUCGAGCCAACUCAAGAAAAUUGCUCUAUGUCUGCCACCGGCGGAACAUUACCUUCCAGUCAUAAGAUGGUUUCAGUGGCUUCUGUACCAGAAUGGACUGAUGAGCAGCUUUCUCAACUCUUUGAUGACUACUGA